rnacentral:rRNA from 1 species
GAUGAACGCUAGCGGGAGGCCUAACACAUGCAAGCCGAGCGGUAUUGUUUCUUCGGAAAUGAGAGAGCGGCGUACGGGUGCGGAACACGUGUGCAACCUGCCUUUAUCUGGGGGAUAGCCUUUCGAAAGGAAGAUUAAUACUCCAUAAUAUAUUGAACGGCAUCGUUUAAUAUUGAAAGCUCCGGCGGAUAGAGAUGGGCACGCGCAAGAUUAGCUAGUUGGUGAGGUAACGGCUCACCAAGGCGAUGAU